rnacentral:lncRNA from 1 species
AUGGAGUUCAGACAUGACUGGGGAAAGCAGCCUUAUAUAAAACACUAAUACUUAUUAAUUUGUGAUAAGAGGAGAUGCCUAAGGUAUUAAAAGCACAAAUACUAAAAGGGAUUAACCUACGCUUAAGGACUGCCAAGUUUUGUUAUUGUUCAGACACACUCAGAGUCAAUUCUAGGACACAUUUUUCUGGGUAUUAGGGCACAUUCUGGGUGCAGAAUAUUUUGCCUCUUAGAUAUUCUGAAACCUCUCUUUAGAACUUCUAAACAGUUCUAUUUACUCCUAUUAUCUAAGAAUAUCAAAUAUAUGUGCAGCCCAGCCAGAUACAUGCCAACACACAGCAUCGGCAAGUAGCAAUCAGGUAAAUGUUAGAUACGUGAGUGGUUGAUAAAUAAACAUUUUAUACGCUAAACAGCGAUAAACUACAAUAAAUAAAUGGGUUUAAUAUGGUUAGAUACACAAAACUAUUUCAGGGAGAUAAACGGCAGUGGGCUAACGAACAACGAAGUACAGAGGGGGAACAAACAAACAAAUUCUAGAAAGAAAGAGAAGAAAAAAGGAGAAAAUUUCCCUCCAGGGAUUUCUGAAAACAUCAACAGCAUCAUUCUUACUGCGUUCUCAGUAUAUGUCAGGUCUGCUAAUCUGUUGUAAGCUAUAUUCUCUACAGACAGAUAUAACACCAGAGAGCACAUUAAGACCACCUAUUUCUAUUUCCCUGACACCUGACUUCUUCUGCAGUCCGCCUCCAUGGCAAAGAGGGAAUCUGAGGGCUUAUCAAAUAUGCAAUCUCACUGCAAGCCGUGGCUGAUAUUCUUAAACUUUGCAUAAAUCUGGAAUUUGAAAAUUAUGGGUCCUGCCAAGUUAACUUGUGCCUUCCACCCUUGCCCUGUCCUUUUCUCAGGCCCCAAACCAAGGGUUACAAAGAAUCCAAUAUCUUUGAUGAAGACUAUUAAAAAAUAAUAGGUUAUUUUCAAGCUUGUUCAUGUAAUCUCAGUAGAUGGGAUUUAUGUUACAUCAAAAACGUAUUUCCAGCUGGGUGUAGGGGCACACGCCUUUAAUCUCAGCACUUUGGGAGGCUGAAAUGGGCAGAUGACUUGUGCUCAAGAAUUCCUGGUCUGGAAUUCCUGACCUGAGCAAUGUGGUGAAACCCCAUCUCUACAAAACAUACAAAAAUUAGCAAGGUGUGGUGGUGCACACCUGUAGCCCCUGCUACUCAGGAUUGCUUGAGCCCAGGAGGUUGAGGCUGCAGUGAGCCAUGAUCAUACCACUGCACUCCAGCCUGGGCAACAGAGUGAGACUCUGUCUCAAAAACAAACAAAAAACCAACAAAAAAUGAAUUUCUUAUUAGGAUUAUCCCUAAUCUGAAUAUGAUUCUGAGAGUAAUUGGAAGGAAGGAUAGAAAAAGUAGAAGACAAGUGAAGGGGCAGAAGAGAUAUAUGUCCUUCCAGUCAAAACUGAGGCAUUAAAAUGGACUUAAGGCAGUUCAGUUGCACAGGAUUUCACUCUCAGAAGGGGCUCUGUGGUUGCUGGCUUGAAGAACUUCUUAAUAAUUUUAUCUGUGAAUUUGUGUUUUGUUAACUGAAGUCCAGUGGGACAUAGGACAUGAGCUAGGGGCUUGGAGCAUGGGCUCCUGUGUGGUUCUGCUCUCCCUGCUCCCUAAGCAGGGCUCUCAGCUGGCCCCUCCCUGCCCUCUGGUGACCUGGGCCCUACCUGUCUUCCUCCCUUGUCCCUGUCUUGCUCCUAUUACCUGGUUUUGCCUGGGUGGCAACUGGGUCAUAUAGGUGAGGGAAGGCCCAUAUUCUGCCAUGGUUCUCAGUUCUUGAUGAGGCCGGGACAUGGGUGUGGAGACAGUCAGGGUUAGACACGUGCCCUCAGCAUCUCAGGAUGGGGCAAGGCGGUGGCAGCACCAAGGCAUGGUAGGUGGGGCCUCUUGCCCAUCCCUGACCCAGGUGGUGGGAUGACCCCCAAGGAUUGUAAGCUCUGCAUCAGGUACCAGAGCGUGCAAUCUCUGGGGGUCAUCCCACAACCCUGAGUUAAGGUGGGGGCCUGAGGGAAGGAAACACUGACUUUCCUGGCUCGAUCUGGGGUCUGCAUUUCCAUUUUGCACUGGGCCCCUCUAGUUGGCCUUGGGUUAGAGAAAUAACAUGAAAAUAUUUAGGGCUGUGAAUGUCUUCCACUCCCUCUUGGAAUCAACCCUGGUGGAGUCACUGAGGCUUUGCACCAAUGUUCCAGGUCUCUUCUCUGCAGAUGUGCUGGAAUUACACUUUGAUGUCCUCUCGAAGUUACGUGGGCCACCUGACUUGCUUUUCCAUUCUGGGAGGAGAUUUAAGAGCUGAUUCAUAUCUUCUUUCUCUCUGUCAUGAAUUCCAGAUCUGAACACUCUCUCAGAUGGAAUGUUGAGUUCUGAAGGUUAUGCUAAAGGGAUAGAGAAGAAGGGCUGCAGCAAGUGUGAGCAGCAAGAGAGGGCCGGAGAAAGUCUGGGAUUUAUUGGAACAUGUAUGGGAAUUUGGCUGUGGGCAUGAGGGUCACGGUGGGCUGAAAAAUAAAAAUUUGGCUGUCCUUGAAAACAACAGCAGCCGCAACUACAUCCACAACCAAAGAAUGAUUCUUUUAGAAAGGGAAAUAUCGAUGAAACUCCAUUGCAACACUGCAAAUAAAACAAAGGGAGAAUUAAAAUUCUGUGCACAAUAUUGCAGUACUUUCUGGAGGGAUGAGCUCAAAAGAGAAAUCACAGGAUGGGCCAUGCAACUACGUCUUCAGGUCCAGCUAGGGUUGGCCAAAGCAAAUUGAAAGAGAUGGGAGUGAGUGGGAGAGGAGGAGCUCCAGGGAGAAAAUGAGAAGGACUCUUCCAAAGAGGUUGGUAAUGAAAGAUAAGAGAGAGAUAGGGUGGAUUGAGAAAGAAGCAUAGGUCUAGAGACAGGCGGAGAGACCGACAGACAGAUGAUAGGUGAUUGAGACAGACACACCCUCCCAUGAAAUUAUUACCUGAGAGUAGAUGAGCACUUCCUGUGGGCCAAUAAUCUUCUAAGAGCUUUAGCUCUAACUCAUUUAAUCCUUGCAAAACCCUAUAAAGUAGAUACUAUAUUUAAGCUCAUUUUAAAAUGAGAAAACUGAAGUACGGAAGUGUAUUUUUGUAUUUCAGUUAUUUGUCUAUUUGUUGAAAAGAGAGAUUUGAGAAUGUUUGUAUGGAGAGAGGAGAAGUCAGGAGAGGAGAAGUCAGGAGAUGAGAGGGUGGGAAUUCAAGAGGUCCAUUUGGAAUACCUCCAGCUGAAAAGAGAUAAUGAAAAAAUCCCAAGAACUGUCCUGAGUUCUUGGAGGGUAGAGGGUGGAGGGGCAGAAGGGAGAGUUGUGUAUUCUUCAGAAACUGCAGGGAAGGAAGAAAAAGAAAUUAAUGGUAUGAAAUUGUUGGCGAACCAGGGACACUGAAGGUAGAGACUCAGCAGCCUGUUUGCUUUUGUUUCUUAAAUAAAUCACAUUGGAUGUGGGGCUCUGUUACUCUUGAGGAUGUGAUACAGAUUCUUGGUUGUGGGAAAACUCAAAUUAAUCAUAAAACAGGUCUUGGAUAUUGAGGAGAGAUUAAUCAUCUAGAAAUAAACCAAGGAUGGAUUAUUUCAUCUCUUUGGGUUGUGCUCAAAUAUGCAUCCAAUCCUACUGGAUAUUGGAGCCAUAUGGAACCCUUUUUGGUACACCUGCUAAUGGAGACUUCCCAAAAGGGAUGCUCUGAAGUCACAGUCUGCACUCAUGAUAUUCAGAAAGAAUUCUCAGAACUUGUCGACUACCUGUGCUGCCCUUUGUGUUGAGGGUAACACGUACCGUCUUCCAGCUAUAAUUGUAAAAACCUAGUCCUCCUCCUCAGGGCGGCUUGUUUUUAAGAGUUGUGGAAUGUGGAAUACAAGCCUUUCAUUUAAAAAAGAAAAUGCCUCCAUGUGCAUAACUUACAUUAUCCAGAACAUGACAGAAAGCACAGAGGAAAAUAAUUCUGUCUUACUCCCCUCAUAAAAAUGGCAGCAUUUUCAAGCUCAGACUCUCUCUGGCUCUGUGUAUGUGUAAUGCCAAAGAGCCUCUCUACUUUUUGCUGCUUUAUCCUAAAGUUGUGGUUCUCAACAGGAGUAAGAGUAAACAUGAGUGGUUGGGAUGCAUUUAAAAAUUCAGAUUCUCAGGUCUCAUCACCAGAAUUUCUAAUUUGGUAAGUCUAAACUGAAGCCUAGAAAUCUACAUUUUAAUCAAGCUCCCCAUGGGGAAGAGAGAUUAUGUUUAGAAAAAUUAAAAACAAAACAAAACAUUGUUCCACAAGUUCUGACAAAUAACAAAUCUUACCCUGAAUUGUUCUGGUAAGAAGUGCAGGACCUGCCUUUAAGAAAUUAGAGGGUGCAAAAGAUCAUCUCUUUCUUAACUGAAGGACUUGGGGAGCCAGAAAGAAAGAGGAGUUUCUGAAAGAGGCUCUCCUUUCAUUAAAUUAGAAGAAUUCAAAUCAACAAAUAUUCCACAGGGGCCCCCUACACUCUCCCUACUCUAUUAAUACUUCUGCACAUGGAACAGACAUGAAGAUACGGUCUCCCACCCAUGACCUGUUGGGAAGAUACGUGCGGCACCCACGUGUAUGCACACACAUGGGAAUGAACUAUAAUUAUGACAACUACUCUCCACAGGUUUUCAGGCUGCUCAUAUUUCAGACCUCUGGACCCUUGUCCUAGAUGCUAUUACACACCAUGUCCUGAUUUUGGCUCAGAAAAUGUAGUCAAUGAAAAUAUGCUACAAGAAAACUGAGAUGGAUGUUCAAACCUCUCCCAUAGAGAAGGCUUCAGGUUAGGAGGUGCUGCUUAUGGCAAACAGAGGCGAGGUGGUGCUGCUUUUGUUACGUGACAGAUGCUUUUUUCACAAAUUCUCACACUAGCCCUCUGAGGCCCUCAUGGACUCCACUAUGAUAUCUGUUUUAUAGAUGAGGAAACUGAGGCACAGAGAAGUUGCAGUAACUUGCCAAUCACAUGGCUGGCAGGUUGAGGAGGAGAAAUUAAGCUCAGGAUAGCUCCAGAGUUUAUGUUCUCAACCAUGAUGAUAGACUUGAAGCCUUCUGCCAAAGAACCCACUGGGCUAUGGCUUGAAGGGAGAGGGAAUUUUGGCAGAUGCAGGGCUGUGGGAGAAGGUCAAGUCAUCUGCAUGUCCAUAUUCUAGGGCCUGUUCUGGGCACCAGGACCCUACAGUGAACUGGGCCUAAAAGGAAACAGCAACGGGAAAGAUACAGGCAGAGGGCUUGCUCCUGGAGCAUUUUAGAAAGUGUGAGAAGGGCCAGGCGCGGUGGCUCACGCCUGUAAUCCCAGGACUUUGGGAGGCCGAGGUGGGCGGAUCACUUGAGGUCAGGAGUUCAAGAUCACCCCGGCCAAUAAGGUGAAACUCCGUCUCUACUAAAAAUACAAAAAUUAG